GGGGCCAGGCUCUGGCCGCCUGCCGCGCGCCCACGCCGCGCCGGGGUGCCGCCGCCGAGCUGCGCAGGACCGCCGUGCACGCGCCGUCGCGCACGCGCAGAGCAGGAAGCCAUCCAGAGGCGGCAACGCGACGGCCGACGGACCGCAGCGACCACCGAGGCACCGACCGGCGACCAGGCAGCGGGCAUCGUCCUCGUACAAAGCCAGUGAAGUGAACCAAGGUCUGAACUUUGGGCUGUCUUGCACCAUUUGAAAUUUUGAAUACCCACCUCUCAAAUCAACCCGCCCCUGCCAUGGAGGAUGCCCUCGCUGCAUCUCCCGUGGUGCCUCCUCCUGCCCCCCUCGCCGCCGCUGCCGUCCUAACUCGCCGGCGGUCGCACCUCGACAGUGCCUCCUACCGCACGCUCUCCCGCCUCUUCUCCCACCGCCUCCACCUCCAGCCUUCUUCCCGAGUGGGCACUGCACCGAUCGAGGGCGAGCCCGCCGUCGCGAACCCUACCGGCGGGCACUCCGGUGAUUCUGCACAGGUGCCUGAAGGCGCCGAUUUUGAUUGGCUGAAGGAUGUGGAGAAAGAGGUGGCUGAUGCGGGAGGCCCUUCACUCCACGAGACCGUCUCACUAGCGAGGGAGCAACUGGCCACGGCGAACCCUACAGGUGACCCUUGUGAGGCUGAGGCUCCGCAACACUCACAUGAUGAUGUGGAUGAGGUAGUUGCUGUAGAAAGCACCUGUGGUAACACCGGCGCCGUGAUUGAGGAGUUAAAGAUUGGAGCUGGAACGCUGGUGGUGGAGGACGAUGCUCUGAAGUUGGUGAAGGCUUGCUUGGAGACUACUGAGGUUGACGAAUCAGUAGAUGGAGCAUUGGGUAAUGACGAUGGGCAGCUGCUGCUUGACGCGAUGAUGACCAACUUCACUGGGCUGAUUGAUGAUGUUGGUGCUGGCGUGAUACCAGUGCAGACUUGUGUGGUUUCUGGAGGUGAGCUGCAGAAUAGUAAAGCAUCUGAGGAUUUGAAACAAUCAGGAGGUGGGAUUGAAGAUGGAGAACCUGUGAACAAUUUAGAUCGUGAACUGAAUGAAGAUGGUGGUUUCGAGGAAGGAGAGAUUGAUGGUGAGUUUCAGGAUUUGGAUUCAGAAGAAUCUGGAGAUUCUGAGCUUGUUGAUGAUGAUAAUGCUGAAGAUGAGAAAUUGGGAGGUGAUUCCGUUAGCAGGGGCUCAGGGGCCUGUGACCAUGGCAUACAGUCUGUAAAUUUGCACCCGAAACCUGAAAUUGUAGGAAAUGGUCAUCUUACACUGAACAAGGAUGCUAAUUUCAGGGGUGAUGAACAAAUAUCUGUUACUAGGGCUCAAGCUGUCAGUUAUGAUGAAGUUGUGGAUUGGAAUGAGACGCCGCUGCCUGGCAAUGAGGCUACCAACCCUGGAAAGAAGAGAAAACGCUCUUUGACAGAAGAGAGGAAGGCUAAAAAGACAGAAAAUAAAAGAAAGAAGCGGGCAAAGCAACGGAUAGCUGAUGGAGUAAAAAGACCAAAACUUCAACAUGUUACAAAGCCAAAAAAACCUUGCCACUUCUAUGACCAUGGGAAGUGCCAGCAGGGAAGUAAGUGCAAGUUCUCCCAUGAUUUUACACCAUCAACAAAAUCUAAGCCCUGCAAGCAUUUUGCUUGUGGUUCUUGUUUGAAAGGAGAUGAUUGUCCAUAUGAUCAUGAGUUGUCAAAGUAUGAAUGCCAUAACUAUAAGAACAAUGGCAUGUGCAUCAGAGGUGAUAGAUGCAAAUUCUCUCAUGUGAUGCGAACUACGGAAGGUACUCCCACACAAGAUGCAAAGCCAUCUGAUGCUUCACUGGCAUAUGAGAAAACCAACCGCAGAGAGCAUACAAGCAGCCAGAAAACCUCAACAGUUCACAGUGGUGAACCUGUGACCUCUGCUUCUACCAAACAACAGUGUUCCAUCCUGAAAAAUCUGUCUGGCUUCUCUAUCAAUUCUCAAAAUGUGUCUAAUCGUAUUCCAAAGGGUGUGCAGUUUCUUCCGUUUGGUAAAAGUGGAUCAAAUUCGAGCAGCCCGCACCUGGAUGCUUUGUCCAUUGAGAAGCCUAGGAAUGCUAAUGCCACUCAACAUCAGUACAUUGGAGGACAUGAAGCAGAGAAGCAAAAAAAUGCCAAGAAAAAUGAUCAGGAAUCACUGCUAGAUGAGAAGAAUUCAUCAAAGGAAGCUACCAUGCUUCCAUUUUCAGACCUGAAAAAAGCUAGUUUACCUAUUAAUUCUGCUGCAACAUCAGUACAUACUCAGCCGGAAAUCUCCGAGGCCUCUAGGAUUUUUCAGGAGUUCUUGUUUGGUGCUGGCAGUUAGUGUAAGAGAGCUUUGGCACAGAAACCUGACAUGAUUCCUUUGUUUAGAUGUCAUGGAAAAGUUGUGAACUCCAAUUCACGAGGUAGCGCAAUGGGACUUGAUGUGUCAUAUUUUGGUUCCUAACAGGGACUGUUUUGUGAGGCACCUCUCCUGUCAGGGAGCCCAGAUUCCUCCAUGCAAGAGCUUUACGUCGGUUGCCACAUGAGAAUGGCAGGCAGCUACCAGGGCUGCCAAUUAGUCUUGGAUCAUCAUCAUGAUUCCCAGCACAUCUGUGGCAGAAUUAUGGGUCCUUUGGUGGCGACCAACAUUAGCCUGGUGCAAUGCAUGGUCUGGAGUUGCAUUCAUGCGGUACUCCAGGGGAUCUCUGAUCCUGUCUCUUGUGUUCAGAAUUACUUGUGAACUAGCUGGAGACUGUGGUACACCACGGCAGAUGCUGGAGGGGCCCAGGUAUGAGCUGGACUGUGGCUGUUGCUUAGUCUCAAAUCCGGUUCGGGCAUGUCCGGUGCCUACUUGCUGUCGACAUCUCUGCUGAUGUUUCAUCGAUUCAGAAUUACAUUCACAUGGUCACUGAGAGGGCUCACAUGCUGAUUCAUCACUGCAGCUUGCCAUGCAAGCAGGCAUGUGAGCUGUCCCUCUACUCCUGCUGGGCGUGCUGCCACAUGAACAGUUGGGUCUGUUCUGCGGAUCGUAUGAUCUAUGAUGGUGUCAUUUCUCUCUGGGAACGAGUUGCCAUCAUAAGUAAAUCCGCAUCUUGAGUUCUGUUUUUAUGUUGCUGCCUCGUGCGCAUGGAAGGAGCGGUUUAGGUGUACCAAUAAUUGGCACUUGAUCUGUUACCAAGAAUCUGAGCUGAGGUAAGCCAUGGUAUGUUACCUUGAUGGAAGAGAAUUACUAUCUCCUCCUGAAAGCAACUGACUCGGCAUCAUGGUUUGGGCGACUUGUGCAGCUGAACAUGUGUCCUUGUUUCGUGGAUGAGCUGAUUCACGUGUCGAUGAGGCAGUGAGAUCCUCGUCUCUGAGAAAGUGAGGGCAGCUACUCUGUUUCCUUCCCUGGCUACUUGGUGAAGAAUUCUCGUUUACAAGUUUGUGAAGGAGCCCUUUUCUGUCACCUUCAAACACGCCGGAGAAGCUCAGCUCAGCUCAUCUGCGGCUGUUGCACACACGCAUCCAGCUCCGAAACAAAAUGUUUCCAUAUGUAGCUAUGAAGUGUUGCUCCACUAGAAUUUCGAGCCGAAACAAAGCUAGCUGCCUCCAAAAUUUCAUCAUAUUUGACAGUUACCCUCUUUUUGAUCCUAUACGCAGCCAACAGUUGAGGCAGGGUCGAUCGUCUUGUCUGUGUUCCUUUUCCUUUCUCUCUCUCACAGUUGAGGCAGGGUCGAUCGUCUUGUGUGUGUUCCUUUUCCUUUCUCUCUCUCCAGUCAACAGUCGACCGAUAGGUUGGUAGACGAGAGCACAUGCUCUGGCUGCGUUUUUUCCACAGCCGCAAAGUGAGCAGAAUGCCAUGCUUACCUGCCACUUCUCCAAUGACCUUAGCCUGACAGUGCGUUCCGUUCACCCUAUCUCAACCUGAACUUGCUGCUUGACGCCGUUUUGUUCCUUGUCUGUUCUCGUGUUCGCACUGGACUUGUAUUCCUCACACCCCUCUCGAUCUGCUAACUGGAAAACUCCUGCAUUCUUUCUGCUCUCGAUCUGCUAACUGGAAAACUCCUGCAUUCCUUCUGCUAAUGUCCGGCCUCUGAAUUCAGAUUCAGCUUGAGCAGCUGCUUCCUGGGACGCCUCUGCUCCAGUUGAAUCCGUAACAGGAUGGCUCCUGUAUGUAUUGUGUACUCCACUGUUCCUUAGCUGUUGUGCUUUGACUGCUCAGACUGAAUCCAUUUUGGCCGUUGCUAGACAAUAAGCCCUUGUUCAUGACUUUACGUCUCUUUCCCAGCCUUGUCAGACAGCAGCAAUAACAAGUACAGUUGAUGCUCAACUAAAGGUUUUCAUCGAGUGUUUGAGCAACGAUCAGCAGCUGGUUAAUCUCCAUCGGUCCUUUUCUUUAGAUCAAUUAAUCUCCACCGGUUGCGGCUUAUCAAUAAGGAGCAGGAAUAAUUGGGGGCUAGUUAUGGAGCUCGAGACCUCCAGACCUUUGGGCCUUUUCAUUGCCAUGUAGCUCGUGCUGUGGUGUCCAGUGCGUCCCUUUCCUGAUCCUGUAUUUGGUGAAGACACAAUGGCAUCAUGGCUUUCUUGAUCCUACCAAAACUCGUUUUUUUUUCUUGGGGGCAAAGCUUGCAGGUAAGGUACCUGUCAGGCCUUCUGUUACUGCAGCUUCGGUCAAGAUCAGGAACGGAGGCCUAUCACCAAAGAAUCCCCAGAACACGAUGUCGACCGAGGCGACUACGACGAUCCUUGAACCCUGGAUUGUGCCUUGUCCUCAUGCUCAUCAUAUAUCAUCUCACAAUCUACGCAAACACUCGGCCGCUUCUCCUCACCAAGGGAUUAACAUGCUGCACACCCUUUUUUUCCUCAUGAUCUUUCUGUCCAAUCUUGUACGAGAUAGCUAACUAACUUACCAAUUUUGUAUUUCAGCAGGUCUGUUUCCUUUUGUUUCGACGACGACAAAAUGUGCAAUUCAUCGUUCAGGGGAGCGUGUGCUUGCGCUGUCGAUCAGAUUAUAUUCCAGCUUUCAUGGCUCAUGUUGCCUGAACCCCUGAGCUUCCUUCUCCCAAUUGGUCGACUUCCAGCUCUCUGGUUCAAAAACUACGUCUGCGAGAGUGGGGUAGACCUGUCCUUCUCAUGACAGUAUGACACGGACAUCGCCUAUAUUCGGGCUCAUAAUUCGCUCCUUGACCGCCUUUUUAAAAAAAAUCAUAGAUGAUUAGAAUUUGAGUGCAUUGAUGCUGAUAUAUAUGGCCCUACCUGCAAAUAGAAAUCACAGUAUCUACUAUGAGCAGCUCUUGCUUCAUGGAGACAGCUAGCAUGCAAAACUGUGUGCAUUGACUGCUGAAAUGCAGUUGUGUUUUGCUCGUAUGAUGCUGCACCCAAAAAAAAAAACAAGGAUGAAGUAUACUCCUCCUACCUUUGCUGCUGAGUGCUGACUGGCUGCUGGCACACGAUGCCAAACUAUCUGCUAAUCAUUGAUGGUGUUGUUGCUCAUGUGGAUAUUCUUUUUGGUCUUGUUAUGUUGGGAAAAAGGCUGGAUCUAAUCUUCCUCUGGAUCGACGCUGAAGAGCUGCCGCGAUGUGUCAAUGAUGUGCUGAGAAAAGGCAGACCAGCAAGUCGCGUAGUGGAUGAGUGCCUUUUGCAGCCCAAAAGGACCGAAGCUAAAGAGACACGGGGUGAAUAGAUACAUGUGCUUGGUAUUGGUAUUGGUAUCGUCAGUUCUGACAAUAAUUGGAAACUCAGUCGGCACCUUCUGAACAGCUAGCGUGUCCGUUUUCAGCUCCCGAUUCAAAAUUUGAUAGGUGCAAGUAAGUAUGGUUUGCCGUAAUUAUACCCAGGAGUAGUGGAGAUGGAUUCCUUUUCUUUUGUAAAGUACUCAGAGUUGGAAAUAGAUGGUUCUCGUACCGUGAUUCAACUA